rnacentral:rRNA from 1 species
GAUGAACGCUGGCGGCGUGCCUAACACAUGCAAGUCGAGCGAGAAAUUCACAAUCGAAUCUUCGGAAGAGAGAGUGAAUGGAAAGCGGCGGACGGGUGAGUAACGCGUAGGUAACCUGCCCUGUACAGAGGGAUAGCCACUGGAAACGGUGAUUAAUACCUCAUAACACCGAGAAUUCACAUGAAAAUUCGGUCAAAGAUUUAUCGGUACAGGAUGGACCUGCGUCUGAUUAGCUGGUUGGUGAGGUAACGGCUCACCAAGGCGACGAUCAGUAGCCGACCUGAGAGGGUGAUCGGCCACAUUGGAACUGAGACACGGUCCAA